CUACGUGCCAGCAGCCGCGGUAAUACGGGGGGUGCGAGCGUUAAUCGGAAUAACUGGGCGUAAAGGGCACGCAGGCGGUGACUUAAGUGAGAUGUGAAAGCCCCGGGCUUAACCUGGGAAUUGCAUUUCAUACUGGGUCGCUAGAGUACUUUAGGGAGGGGUAGAAUUCCACGUGUAGCGGUGAAAUGCGUAGAGAUGUGGAGGAAUACCGAAGGCGAAGGCAGCCCCUUGGGAAUGUACUGACGCUCAUGUGCGAAAGCGUGGGGAGCAAACAGGAUUAGAUACCCUGGUAGUCCACGCUGUAAACGAUGUCGAUUUGGGGAUUGGGCUUUAAGCUUGGUGCCCGUAGCUAACGUGAUAAAUCGACCGCCUGGGGAGUACGGCCGCAAGGUUAAAACUCAAAUGAAUUGACGGGGGCCCGCACAAGCGGUGGAGCAUGUGGUUUAAUUCGAAGAUACGCGAAGAACCUUACCCGGACUUGAUAUC
rnacentral:rRNA from 1 species